AUAUGAUUAUUUGAAUUCAUGUAUAAAUGUUUGGGAGGACUGCUAAUGUCAAGCCGAUGAGUCUCUUCAAACGCUCUUCUUUGGGGGAAUAAAUAGCUAUAGUUUUCUCUUGCCUUGAUCUUGCUCAUCUUCUCUGUUGGCAUUUUGUGGGAUAAAUGGGCAACAUUUCUCUUCCAUUCCCCUUUUGCAGACAUACAAACAGAUUUGGGGUUAGAUGAUUUUUUUUUUUUUUGCCCUCGAGCUUACUUUUAAAGGAGUCUCUUACUUAAGGAUGGACUUUUAAUUUUUUACAACUUCCUCUGUUGAUUAAUUCUGCUCCAGUACAUUUUCUUUAGAAAAUAAUUAGUCUGAAAGUUCAAAGAGUUUUCCAGCUUAGCACAAUGCUGGGCAUAAAACAGGCCAGUUAUAGGGUAACAGAAGUACCCACUCUGGGGAAGAGUCUCCUGAAACCUCGUGCAAUAAGAUGCCUUAUUCCUUAAGAAGAGGAGACCCCACAGUAGUUUGGGGAAGACUGUCAAGGAACCGAAGUCCGCACCAUUCCUGGAGACCCUGAACUCCCUGAAUGGCUGGAAAUUACCUACGGCAGCUGAGUCACCCACCUCCCCGCGGAAGCCUGCUGGCUGUUUCCAAGGCCUUCCUCAUCAUUCAAACCACGAUGCGGCCACAGGAAUACCAAAAGCGACACUUGAUGGCUGUGGAAGAUUUUCAUCCUCACAGGUCGUGAAUGCCUUCUGUUUAUCACCUGCACUGAGGAUUUACGACUGUCUCAGUGUCGUAUUUCUAGCUGCUGUACUCUGAAGGAAAGCAUCCUGCCCUGAGGUAAGGACACAUUCUUUAUUCAUAGUGAAAAUGAAAGCGAGUAAAGGGCAAGAUUUUUUU
rnacentral:lncRNA from 1 species